CCCUUAGAGUUUGAUCCUGGCUCAAGACGAACUCUGGCGGCGCGCCUAACACAUGCAAGUCGAACGAGCGAGAGAGAGCUUGCUUUCUCGAGCGAGUGGCGAACGGGUGAGUAACGCGUGAGGAACCUGCCUCAAAGAGGGGGACAACAGUUGGAAACGACUGCUAAUACCGCAUAAGCCCACGGGUCGGCAUCGACCAGAGGGAAAAGGAGCAAUCCGCUUUGAGAUGGCCUCGCGUCCGAUUAGCUAGUUGGUGAGGUAAUGGCCCACCAAGGCAACGAUCGGUAGCCGGACUGAGAGGUUGAACGGCCACAUUGGGACUGAGACACGGCCCAGACUCCUACGGGAGGCAGCAGUGGGGAAUAUUGCACAAUGGGGGAAACCCUGAUGCAGCGACGCCGCGUGGAGGAAGAAGGUCUUCGGAUUGUAAACUCCUGUUGUUGAGGAAGAUAAUGACGGUACUCAACAAGGAAGUGACGGCUAACUACGUGCCAGCAGCCGCGGUAAAACGUAGGUCACAAGCGUUGUCCGGAAUUACUGGGUGUAAAGGGAGCGCAGGCGGGAAGACAAGUUGGAAGUGAAAUCUAUGGGCUCAACCCAUAAACUGCUUUCAAAACUGUUUUUCUUGAGUAGUGCAGAGGUAGGCGGAAUUCCCGGUGUAGCGGUGGAAUGCGUAGAUAUCGGGAGGAACACCAGUGGCGAAGGCGGCCUACUGGGCACCAACUAACGCUGAGGCUCGAAAGUGUGGGUAGCAAACAGGAUUAGAUACCCUGGUAGUCCACACCGUAAACGAUGAUUACUAGGUGUUGGAGGAUUGACCCCUUCAGUGCCGCAGUUAACACAAUAAGUAAUCCACCUGGGGAGUACGACCGCAAGGUUGAAACUCAAAGGAAUUGACGGGGGCCCGCACAGGCAGUGGAGUAUGUGGUUUAAUUCGACGCAACACGAAGAACCUUACCAAGUCUUGACAUCCUGCGACGAUGCUGGAAACAGUAUUUUCCUUCGGGACGCAGAGACAGGUGGUGCAUGGUUGUCGUCAGCUCGUGUCGUGAGAUGUUGGGUUAAGUCCCGCAACGAGCGCAACCCUUACUGUCAGUUACUACGCAAGAGGACUCUGGCAGGACUGCCGUUGACAAAACGGAGGAAGGUGGGGAUGACGUCAAAUCAUCAUGCCCUUUAUGACUUGGGCUACACACGUACUACAAUGGCGUUAAACAAAGAGAAGCAAGACCGCGAGGUGGAGCAAAACUCAGAAACAACGUCCCAGUUCGGACUGCAGGCUGCAACUCGCCUGCACGAAGUCGGAAUUGCUAGUAAUCGUGGAUCAGCAUGCCACGGUGAAUACGUUCCCGGGCCUUGCACA
rnacentral:rRNA from 1 species